GACCUUUUGCCACAUUUCAGGCUUCAAACAUAAAGAUAUAAAACUGUAUUUUUUUGUGAGGAAUCAACAACAAGUGGGACACAAUCAUGAAGUGGAACGACAUUUAUUGGAUAUUUCAAACUUUUUUAACAAAUCAAAAACUGAAAAAUUAGGCGUGCAAAAUUAUUCAGCCCCCUUAAGUUAAUACUUUGUAGCGCCACCUUUUGCUGCGAUUACAGCUGUAAGUCACUUGGGGUAUGUCUCUAUCAGUUUUGCACAUCGAGAGACUGAAAUUUUUUCCCAUUCCUCCUUGCAAAACAGCUCGAGCUCAGUGAGGUUGGAUGGAGAGCAUUUGUGAACAGCAGUUUUCAGUUCUUUCCACAGAUUCUCGAUUGGAUUCAGGUCUGGACUUUGACUUGGCCAUUCUAACACCUGGAUAUGUUUAUUUUUGAACCAUUCCAUUGUAGAUUUUGCUUUAUGUUUUGGAUCAUUGUCUUGUUGGAAGACAAAUCUCCGUCCCAGUCUCAGGUCUUUUGCAGACUCCAUCAGGUUUUCUUCCAGAAUGGUCCUGUAUCUGGCUCCAUCCAUCUUCCCAUCAAUUUUAACCAUCUUCCCUGUCCCUGCUGAAGAAAAGCAGGCCCAAACCAUGAUGCUGCCACCACCAUGUUUGACAGUGGGGAUGGUGUGUUCAGGGUGAUGAGCUGUGUUGCUUUUACGCCAAACAUAACGUUUUGCAUUGUUGCCAAAAAGUUCAAUUUUGGUUUCAUCUGACCAGAGCACCUUCUUCCACAUGUUUGGUGUGUCUCCCAGGUGGCUUGUGGCAAACUUUAAACGACACUUUUUAUGGAUAUCUUUAAGAAAUGGCUUUCUUCUUGCCACUCUUCCAUAAAGGCCAAAUUUGUGCAAUAUACGACUGAUUGUUCUCCUAUGGACAGAGUCUCCCACCUCAGCUGUAGAUCUCUGCAGUUCAUCCAGAGUGAUCAUGGGCCUCUUGGCUGCAUCUCUGAUCAGUCUUCUCCUUGUAUGAGCUGAAAGUUUAGAGGGACGGCCAGCCCUUGGUAGAUUUGCAGUGGUCUGAUACUCCUUCCAUUUCAAUAUUAUCGCUUGCACAGAGCUCCUUGGGAUGUUUAAAGCUUGGGAAAUCUUUUUGUAUCCAAAUCCGGCUUUAAACUUCUUCACAACAGUAUCUCGGACCUGCCUUGUGUGUUCCUUGUUCUUCAUGAUGCUCUCUGCGCUUUUAACAGAUCUCUGAGACUAUCACAGUGCAGGUGCAUUUAUACGGAGACUUGAUUACACACAGGUGGAUUGUAUUUAUCAUCAUUAGUCAUUUAGGUCAACAUUGGAUCAUUCAGAGAUCCUCACUGAACUUCUGGAGAGAGUUUGCUGCACUGAAAGUAAAGGGGAUGAAUAAUUUUGCACGCCCAAUUUUUCAGUUUUUGAUUUGUUAAAAAAGUUUGAAAUAUCCAAUAAAUGUCGUUCCACUUCA